AUUUGUUCCACUCUGCAUGUCUACACUGUUACCUUAUUUCUUUCCCCAAAUGUCUCCUAACAACAGUGUCUACUUCCCAACUCAACAACACCUGUCUGGGCUCUUCUUACGACCUUCAUGACUUUGGGCAAGUCACAUGCUUCACUUAUCUCCACUAUAAAAUAAGGGGACUGCUAAUUAUGGGUGUAUAAGCAAAUCAAGAAGAUUGUUGUACCCAGAGUUGGUAAAGGGACACUUGUAAGCUCCUUCUGAACAGUUGCCUCCUGCCCCAUACCAUCUAUUGUACUAGAGGGUUAUCAGGAACCAAAGCUUGACACGUCUCUGAGAGGGAGGGAACAGAUAAAGAGAAACACCACUUCCUCUCCCAGGCAGAGGUGUCCCAGAGAAGGAAGUUGGAUCUAUGUUGAGCUGAAAGCUGGAGGUUCCAGUCCCAUUCCCUGUUGUCAGCCAAAGUUCCAUUUCCCCCUGCAGUCCUUGCAGUGCAUACCACAUCUCUCUCGUCCACACUAAGAUGUUCUUAAAUUUGGUUCCUUCUAAUACAUUCAUGUUCAACUCUUCAUGACUUCUCUUUGGGGUCUUCUUGGUGACUGGAGUAGUUUGCCAUCUCCUUUUCAAGGUCAUUUAACUGAUGAGAAAACCAAGGAAUACUAGAGGGGACUUGCUGUGCAUGUGUCAGAGAGAUCACAAAGAGACCCACAAGGUGAAACAAUUAUAUCUGGUAUUCCUUUAAUUGUCAAGUGAUACCCAGUAGUAUUUCCAUGGACUUCAGGAAGGCAGGGGAGGGCUGUUACUCCUUCAGUAGCAUCCCAAUUGUCCCCUGAGAUACCCACAAAGGACACACAUAGUCUUGUUGCCUUUUGCAUUCAAGAUGGCCCUGUGACAUCUCUAAUCAUUUGACAGCUGUAUUAUUUU